rnacentral:rRNA from 1 species
AUUGAACGCUGGCGGCAGGCCUAACACAUGCAAGUCGAACGGUAACAGAAAGCAGCUUGCUGCUUUGCUGACGAGUGGCGGACGGGUGAGUAAUGUCUGGGAAACUGCCUGAUGGAGGGGGAUAACUACUGGAAACGGUAGCUAAUACCGCAUAACGUCGCAAGACCAAAGAGGGGGACCUUCGGGCCUCUUGCCAUCGGAUGUGCCCAGAUGGGAUUAGCUAGUAGGUGGGGUAAAGGCUCACCUAGGCGACGAUCCCUAGCUGGUCUGAGAGGAUGACCAGCCACACUGGAACUGAGACACGGUCCAGACUCCUACGGGAGGCAGCAGUGGGGAAUAUUGCACAAAGGGCGCAAGCCUGAUGCAGCCAUGCCGCGUGUAUGAAGAAGGCCUUCGGGUUGUAAAGUACUUUCAGCGGGGAGGAAGGGAGUAAAGUUAAUACCUUUGCUCAUUGACGUUACCCGCAGAAGAAGCACCGGCUAACUCCGUG